CUCUUUUAGCCUGAACACCCUGGAAAGGAGACAACAGAUUAGAGCUCCAUUCUACCCCAACUGAGAAGCACCUACCACACCCUGAAAACAAACACUGUUAAUAUGCACCACAAUUACAAUAAAACAUUUCAUGCUUCU